AUACGUAGGUGGCAAGCGUUAUCCGGAUUUACUGGGUGUAAAGGGCGCGUAGGCGGGGGUGCAAGUCAGAUGUGAAAUCUAUGGGCUUAACUCAUAAACUGCAUUUGAAACUGUAUCUCUUGAGUGCUGGAGAGGUAGACGGAAUACCUUGUGUAGCGGUGAAAUGCGUAGAUAUAAGGAAGAACACCAGUGGCGAAGGCGGUCUACUGGACAGUAACUGACGCUGAGACGCGAAAGCGUGGGGAGCAAACAGGAUUAGAUACCCUGGUAGUCCACUCUGUAAACGAUGAAUACUAGGUGUGGGGGGACUGACCCCCUCCGUGCCGCAGUUAACACAAUAAGCAAUCCACCUGGGGAGUACGACCGCAAGGUUGAAACUCAAAUGAAUUGACGGG
rnacentral:rRNA from 1 species